rnacentral:rRNA from 1 species
UACGUAGGGGGCAAGCGUUGUCCGGAAUCAUUGGGCGUAAAGGGCGCGUAGGUGGCCCGGUCAGUUCGUGGUGAAAGCGCGGGGCUCAACCCUGCGUCGGCCAUGAAUACUGCCGCGGCUGGAGCACUGUAGAGGCAGGCGGAAUUCCGGGUGUAGCGGUGGAAUGCGUAGAGAUCCGGAAGAACACCGGUGGCGAAGGCGGCCUGCUG